CUCAGAACGAACGCUGGCGGCGUGCCUAACACAUGCAAGUCGAACGCGAAAGUCCCGCAAGGGAUCAGUAGAGUGGCAAACGGGUGAGUAACACGUGGGUGACCUGCCUUCGAGUGGGGGAUAACGUCCCGAAAGGGACGCUAAUACCGCAUGACAUCCUGCCUUUGAACAGGCGGAGAUCAAAGCUGGGGAUCGCAAGACCUAGCGCUUGGAGAGGGGCCCGCGUCCGAUUAGCUAGUUGGUGAGGUAACGGCUCACCAAGGCGACGAUCGGUAUCCGGCCUGAGAGGGCGGACGGACACACUGGGACUGAGACACGGCCCAGACUCCUACGGGAGGCAGCAGUGGGGAAUUGUUCGCAAUGGGCGCAAGCCUGACGACGCAACGCCGCGUGGAGGAUGAAGAUCUUCGGGUCGUAAACUCCUUUCGAUCGAGACGAACGGCUUCCGUGCUAAUCAACGGGAGAGUGACGGUACCGAGAGAAGAAGCCCCGGCUAACUCCGUGCCAGCAGCCGCGGUAAUACGGGGGGGGCAAGCGUUGUUCGGAAUUACUGGGCGUAAAGGGCUCGUAGGCGGCCAACUAAGUCAGACGUGAAAUCCCUCGGCUUAACCGGGGAACUGCGUCUGAUACUGGAUGGCUUGAGGUUGGGAGAGGGAUGCGGAAUUCCAGGUGUAGCGGUGAAAUGCGUAGAUAUCUGGAGGAACACCGGUGGCGAAGGCGGCAUCCUGGACCAAUUCUGACGCUGAGGAGCGAAAGCCAGGGGAGCAAACGGGAUUAGAUACCCCGGUAGUCCUGGCCCUAAACGAUGAAUGCUUGGUGUGGCGGGUAUCGAUCCCUGCCGUGCCGAAGCUAACGCAUUAAGCAUUCCGCCUGGGG
rnacentral:rRNA from 1 species